AUCUUGGAUUUGUUCCUUUAACACUGACUCUUAGCACAAUCCUGAUUUCUGUAUUAAUGAAUUGAGAAGAUGGCAUGAGGCUCUUAGAAUAAGGAAUUUCUCAUAUAAAAGAUUGUGACUUUAAGUAACUUGUAGAGAAUUAUACCUAAGAGUGUCUUAGAUUUUAAAACACUGCUGCAGUAUUGUUUACCAUGAAUGUAUUUCAAAAGUAAUGAGGAUCCAGUCCAUCACAGAGUAUCCACAACUUUCCAGACCAACAUAUAUGUCAGACAUCUGCAUCACAGUAGACCGAUCUAUUCAGGAGAAAUUUCAACCCAGUAAAGAAUCAGAAACCAAAUCAAACCACACCUGAGGUGAGAAUUCAGGAGCAAAAAUUGGGGAUGUCUUUCCCAGGAAGAUGUGCGUUUUAUUAUGGCUGAACCUGCCCAAUGCUGAGAGCAAUUUUCAGAAGAGUUACCCCAUAGAUAUUGGCUAAAGAAGAUUGAAACUGGAGAGAGAGCUCUCACCACACCAACCUAUAUGACAGUGCUACCACCUCAGGAAUAAAGAGUGUUCUUCCAAGGUGAAGAGAGGAAAUCUCCCACUCCUUUAACAGAUUUCAGAGUAGCAGCCGUGUU